GGCGGGUUGGCUCAGUGGUUAGAGCUUAGGUCUCGUACCCGAAAUGUCGCGGCAUCAAAUCCCGCUAGAGGCUG
rnacentral:tRNA from 1 species